GACGAACGCUGGCGGCGUGCUUAACACAUGCAAGUCGAACGGAAAGGCCCUGCUUUUGUGGGGUGCUCGAGUGGCGAACGGGUGAGUAACACGUGUGUAACCUGCCCUUGACUUUGGGAUAACUUCAGGAAACUGGGGCUAAUACCGGAUAGGAGCUCCUGCUGCCUGGUGGGGGUUGGAAAGUUUCGGCGGUUGGGGAUGGACUCGGGGCUUAUCAGCUUGUUGGUGGGGUAGUGGCUUACCAAGGCUUUGACGGGUAGCCGGCCUGAGAGGGUGACCGGCCACAUUGGGACUGAGAUACGGCCGAGACUACUACGGGAGGCAGCAGUGGGGAAUAGUGCACAAUGGGCGGAAGCGUGAUGCAGCAACGCCGCGUGCGAGAUGACGGCCUUCGGGUUGAAAACCGCUUUCGCCUGGGACGAAGCGUGAGAGACGGGAAAGGGUAAAGAAGCACCGGCAAACUACG
rnacentral:rRNA from 1 species